rnacentral:rRNA from 1 species
GGGCCCGCACAAGCGGUGGAGCAUGUGGUUUAAUUCGACGCAACGCGCAGAACCUUACCAGGGUUUGACAUCCCGUGCCACGCUCAGAGAUGGGCGGUCCCCGCAAGGGGCGCGGAGACAGGUGCUGCAUGGCUGUCGUCAGCUCGUGUCGUGAGAUGUUGGGUUAAGUCCCGCAACGAGCGCAACCCUCUCCUUUAGUUGCCAUCAUUUAGUUGGGCACUCUAAAGGGACCGCCGGCGACAAGCCGGAGGAAGGUGGGGAUGACGUCAAGUCCUCAUGGCCCUUACACCCUGGGCUACACACGUGCUACAAUGGCGGUGACAGUGGGCAGCUACCACGUGAGUGGAAGCGAAUCCCAAAAAACCGUCCCAGUUCAGAUUGCACUCUGCAACUCGAGUGCAUGAAGGCGGAAUCGCUAGUAAUCGCAGAACAGCAGGCUGCGGUGAAUACGUUCCCGGGCCUU